rnacentral:rRNA from 1 species
GACGAACCGUGCAAACGUUAUUCGGAAUCACUGGGCUUAAAGCGCGUGUAGGCGGGACGGCACGUCGAUCGUUGAAAGCCCCCGGCUCAACCGGGGAAUGGGCGCCGAUACGACCGUCCUGGAGGAACGUAGGGGGACCUGGAACUUCCGGUGGAGCGGUGAAAUGCGUUGAGAUCGGAAGGAACGCCCGUGGCGAAAGCGAGGUCCUGGACGUUUUCUGACGCUGAGACGCGAAAGCCAGGGGAGCGGAAC